rnacentral:rRNA from 1 species
UACAGAGGGGGCAAGCGUUGUUCGGAAUUACUGGGCGUAAAGGGCGCGUAGGCGGCGUGACAAGUCACUUGUGAAAUCUCCGGGCUUAACUCGGAACGGUCAAGUGAUACUGUCGUGCUAGAGUACAGAAGGGGCAACUGGAAUUCUCGGUGUAGCGGUGAAAUGCGUAGAUAUCGAGAGGAACACCUGCGGCGAAGGCGGGUUGCUGGGCUGAUACUGACGCUGGAGGCGCGAAAGCUAGGGGAGCGAACGGG